CCUAUCAAUUUUUGAUGGACUUUCUGCGUCUACCAUGGUGACUACGGGUAACGAAGAAUCAGGGUUCGAUUCUG